rnacentral:rRNA from 1 species
UGGGGAAUAUUGGACAAUGGGCGCAAGCCUGAUCCAGCCAUACCGCGUGGGUGAAGAAGGCCUUCGGGUUGUAAAGCCCUUUUGUUGGGAAAGAAAUCCAGCCGGCUAAUACCUGGUUGGGAUGACGGUACCCAAAGAAUAAGCACCGGCUAACUUCGUGCCAGCAGCCGCGGUAAUACGAAGGGUGCAAGCGUUACUCGGAAUUACUGGGCGUAAAGCGUGCGUAGGUGGUUAUUUAAGUCCGUUGUGAAAGCCCUGGGCUCAACCUGGGAACUGCAGUGGAUACUGGAUGACUAGAAUGUGGUAGAGGGUAGCGGAAUUCCUGGUGUAGCAGUGAAAUGCGUAGAGAUCAGGAGGAACAUCCAUGGCGAAGGCAGCUA